CCUACGGGAGGCAGCAGUGAGGAAUAUUGGUCAAUGGGCGGGAGCCUGAACCAGCCAAGCCGCGUGAAGGAAGAAGGCGCCAGGCGUCGUAAACUUCUUUUGUCGGGGAACAAAAUGCGCCACGCGUGGCGUUUUGAGUGUACCCGAAGAAAAAGCAUCGGCUAACUCCGUGCCAGCAGCCGCGGUAAUACGGAGGAUGCGAGCGUUAUCCGGUUUUAUUGGGUUUAAAGGGUGCGUAGGCGGUUCGGAAAGUCAUCGGUAAAAGCCCGGGGCCCAACCCCAGCGAGCCGUUGAAAAUGUCGGACUAGAGAACGGGAGAGGUACGCGGAAUGCGUGGUGUAGCGGUGAAAUGCAUAGAUAUCGCGCAGAACUCCGAUUGCGAAGGCAGCGUACCGG
rnacentral:rRNA from 1 species